UCUUAUUGUAAAUAUAAUAAUCUCUUAUUGCAUUGAAGUAAAAAAAAGAUAGAAAAUAAUUGACUAGUAAACAGAAAAAAAACUUUAGAAAUGUAAAGAAAAGACAGAACAUUUGGUCUGCAAUCUAGAUUCAUGUUGCUGGAAAUGUCAAAAAAUGAAAAGUCUUUAACCAGGAUUUUAGGUUAGGAGGCCAGGGAGCAAGGGCCAAAAUUUUCAUUUCGGCAAAAUAAAAGUCAGAAUGUUUAAUGCAAAAAAAAAUUGCCUUUUUACCGACCCUGUACCCUCAUGAUUGCAGAAAAACCAAGAUUGCUUUUAGUGAAGUAGAAAAAUUUAACACCAGGAUUAUCAAGAUUUGAUAUAGGGACACAGAUGUGCAUGAGGACAUAAAUUUGACUCUGACAUGUGUAAUGAUAAUCCUUGUGUUUCACUUUUAGUAUAAACAAACAUUUAAGGUGAACUUUUAGUAUAAACAAACAUUUAAGGUGAACAAACUUUUAGUAUAAACAAAUAUUUAUGUUCUGUAACAUCACAUUUAAAGGCAGUAUAUCUUGUAAAAAGAACAAGUCCCA
rnacentral:lncRNA from 1 species